CCUACGGGAGGCAGCAGUGAGGAAUAUUGGUCAAUGGACGCAAGUCUGAACCAGCCAUGCCGCGUGCAGGAAGACGGCUCUAUGAGUUGUAAACUGCUUUUGUACGGGGAUAAACGCAGGUACGCGUAUCUGUCUGAAAGUAUCGUACGAAUAAGGAUCGGCUAACUCCGUGCCAGCAGCCGCGGUAAUACGGAGGAUUCAAGCGUUAUCCGGAUUUAUUGGGUUUAAAGGGUGCGUAGGCGGUCGGAUAAGUUAGAGGUGAAAGCCCGGGGCUCAACUGCGGCAUUGCCUCUGAUACUGUUAGGCUAGAGAGUAGGUGCGGUAGGCGGAAUGUAUGGUGUAGCGGUGAAAUGCUUAGAGAUCGUACAGAACACCGAUUGCGAAGGCAGCAUACCAGGCUACGUCUGACGUUGAGGCACGAAAGCGUGGGGAGCAAACAGGAGUAGAUACCCCAGUAGUC
rnacentral:rRNA from 1 species